rnacentral:rRNA from 1 species
UACGUAGGGUGCAAGCGUUGUCCGGAAUUAUUGGGCGUAAAGAGCGUGUAGGCGGCCCGAUUAGUCCGCUGUGAAAGUCCAGGGCUCAACCCUGGAAAGCCGGUGGAUACUGUCGGACUAGAGUGCGGAAGAGGCGAGUGGAAUUCCCGGUGUAGCGGUGAAAUGCGUAGAGAUGCGGAGGAACACCAGUGGCGAAAGCGGCUUUCUGGUCCUUAACUGACGCUGAGGCGCGAAAGCAUGGGGGAGCGAACGGG